rnacentral:sRNA from 1 species
AUGUCAGGCCUGCGGCCCGGCACUCAAGUGGACCCUGAGAUUGAGCUUUUUGUAAAGAUGUGCCUUUCACCUUCUUCCAUGAUUGUGAGGCCUUCCCAGCCACGUGGAACUGCUGGAAGUGAUGGAGAGAGUAUUGGAAACUGUCCCUUUUGCCAACGGCUUUUCAUGAUCCUCUGGCUUAAAGGAGUUAAAUUUAAUGUGACAACUGUUGACAUGACCAGAAAGCCUGAAGAACUAAAGGACUUAGCCCCAGGUACCAAUCCUCCGUUCCUGGUGUAUAACAAGGAGUUGAAAACAGACUUCAUUAAAAUUGAGGAGUUUUUAGAACAAACCCUGGCUCCUCCAAGGUACCCUCACCUGAGUCCCAAGUACAAGGAGUCUUUUGAUGUGGGCUGUAACCUCUUUGCCAAGUUUUCUGCAUACAUUAAGAAUACACAAAAGGAGGCAAAUAAGAAUUUUGAAAAAUCUCUGCUCAAAGAAUUCAAGCGUCUGGAUGACUACUUAAACACCCCACUU